CUGGCGGCGUGCUUAACACAUGCAAGUCGAACGGAAAGGCCCUGCUUUUGUGGGGUGCUCGAGUGGCGAACGGGUGAGUAACACGUGAGUAACCUGCCCUUGACUUUGGGAUAACUUCAGGAAACUGGGGCUAAUACCGGAUAGGAGCUCCUGCUGCAUGGUGGGGGUUGGAAAGUUUCGGCGGUUGGGGAUGGACUCGCGGCUUAUCAGCUUGUUGGUGGGGUAGUGGCUUACCAAGGCUUUGACGGGUAGCCGGCCUGAGAGGGUGACCGGCCACAUUGGGACUGAGAUACGGCCCAGACUCCUACGGGAGGCAGCAGUGGGGAAUAUUGCACAAUGGGCGGAAGCCUGAUGCAGCAACGCCGCGUGCGGGAUGACGGCCUUCGGGUUGUAAACCGCUUUCGCCUGUGACGAAGCGUGAGUGACGGUAAUGGGUAAAGAAGCACCGGCUAACUACGUGCCAGCAGCCGCGGUGAUACGUAGGGUGCGAGCGUUGUCCGGAUUUAUUGGGCGUAAAGGGCUCGUAGGUGGUUGAUCGCGUCGGAAGUGUAAUCUUGGGGCUUAACCCUGAGCGUGCUUUCGAUACGGGUUGACUUGAGGAAGGUAGGGGAGAAUGGAAUUCCUGGUGGAGCGGUGGAAUGCGCAGAUAUCAGGAGGAACACCAGUGGCGAAGGCGGUUCUCUGGGCCUUUCCUGACGCUGAGGAGCGAAAGCGUGGGGAGCGAACAGGCUUAGAUACCCUGGUAGUCCACGCUGUAAACGGUGGGUACUAGGUGUGGGGUCCAUUCCACGGGUUCCGUGCCGUAGCUAACGCUUUAAGUACCCCGCCUGGGGAGUACGGCCGCAAGGCUAAAACUCAAAGGAAUUGACGGGGCCCCGCACAAGCGGCGGAGCAUGCGGAUUAAUUCGAUGCAACGCGUAGAACCUUACCUGGGUUUGACAUGGAUCGGGAGUGCUCAGAGAUGGGUGUGCCUCUUUUGGGGUCGGUUCACAGGUGGUGCAUGGCUGUCGUCAGCUCGUGUCGUGAGAUGUUGGGUUAAGUCCCGCAACGAGCGCAACCCUUGUUCACUGUUGCCAGCACGUUAUGGUGGGGACUCAGUGGAGACCGCCGGGGUCGACUCGGAGGAAGGUGGGGAUGACGUCAAGUCAUCAUGCCCCUUAUGUCCAGGGCUUCACGCAUGCUACAAUGGCUGGUACAGAGAGUGGCGAGCCUGUGAGGGUGAGCGAAUCUCGGAAAGCCGGUCUCAGUUCGGAUUGGGGUCUGCAACUCGACCUCAUGAAGUCGGAGUCGCUAGUAAUCGCAGAUCAGCAACGCUGCGGUGAAUACGUUCCCGGGGCUUGUACACACCGCCCGUCAAGUCAUGAAAGUUGGUAACACCCGAAGCCGGUGGCCUAACCGUUGUGGGGGAGCCGUCGAAGGUGGGACUGGUGAUUAGGACUAA
rnacentral:rRNA from 1 species